GAUGAACGCUGGCGGCGUGCCUAAUACAUGCAAGUCGAGCGAACAGACGAGGAGCUUGCUCCUCUGACGUUAGCGGCGGACGGGUGAGUAACACGUGGAUAACCUACCUAGAAGACUGGGAUAACCUCGGGAAACCGGAGCUAAUACCGGAUACUAUAUUGAACCGCAUGGUUCAAUAGUGAAAGGCGGUUUUGCUGUGACUUAGAGCGGGAUCCACGCGGCAUUAGGUAGGUUGUAAGGUAACGGAUUACCAAGGCAACGAUGCGUAGCCGACCUGAGAGGGGGAUAGGCCACACGGGAACGGAGACACGGUCACGACUCCUACGGGAGGCAGCAGUAGGGAAUCUGCCGCAAUGGGCGAAAGCCUGACGGAGCAACGCCGCGUGAGUGAUGAAGGUCUUCGGAUCGUAAAAAUCUGUUAUUAGGGAAGAACAAAUGUGUAAGUAAAUAUGCACGUCUUGACGGUACCUAAUCAGAAAGCCACGGCUAACUACGUG
rnacentral:rRNA from 1 species